GAAGUACCUCCAGCAUUAGACCUCCCAAUACCCAACUCCUCUUCUGUGUAUAAAGUAAACCCAUCUGCCGUUUUCUUCCUCGACCGACGUGGUGGCUCAGAUAACACAUUAUCUUUCGGAAUCCUACCACUAUUUUCCUUGCUUUUCUUCGCCUUUUUCGGCUCUGUAACAGCAACUCCGCUUGAUUUUUCUUGUAAUUCCGGUUUCUUCCUCUUUUUUCCGGCAAAUAUAUCGUCGAUUUCACUGCCGGGCUUUUUGGGUUUAGACGAAGAAACUGGUUUCUCCUUUUCUACAACAGCAGCUGCUGCUACUUCCACUGGUUUAGGCUUCUUCGAAUUACUCUUUUUU
rnacentral:misc_RNA from 1 species